GGGGAAUCUUGCACAAUGGGGGAAACCCUGAUGCAGCGACGCCGCGUGAACGAUGAAGCCCUUCGGGGUGUAAAGUUCUUUCGACAGGAACGAUAAUGACGGUACCUGGAGAAGAAGCUGCGGCUAACUACGUGCCAGCAGCCGCGGUAAUACGUAGGCAGCGAGCGUUGUUCGGAGUUACUGGGCGUAAAGAGUGCGUAGGCGGCGAGCCAAGUUUGGUGUGAAAUCUCCCGGCUUAACCGGGAGGGUGCGCCGAAAACUGGUUGACUGGAGUAUGGGAGAGGAAAGAGGAAUUCCUGGUGUAGCGGUGAAAUGCGUAGAUAUCAGGCGGAACACCUGCGGUGUAGACAGCUUUCUGGACCAAAACUGACGCUGAGGCACGAAAGCGUGGGUAGCAAACA
rnacentral:rRNA from 1 species